rnacentral:lncRNA from 1 species
ACUUUUCUUGCAUACAGCUAUGACCUUGCUUUUCUCAUUUUUCUUAUAUUUCACAAAAUCAAAUCCUUCCUGAAUCAAAUAAAGCCUCAGCGCCUUCCUAAAUAUAGUUGUGGAGCAAAACUUUAUCCCAACCGCAAGCUUGACCGUCUUCUUAGUAUUUCAUUGUAAUACUAUUGUAUUACAAAGAUCUUCUCCUUCUUCCCUUGUUUUAACAGCCAAGAUUCCAAUUUAUAAUGAGAGGUACCACUGGAUACCAUACCUCAUUUACAUUUUGGAUGGAGAUCUUGGAUUAGCAAGAGAUACUUAAAGAGUUAUGCUGCUGCUACUGAGUAAUUAUUUCAUAGGAUACAAUUAAGAGUUAUUGCUUAGAACGUUUAUUACCCUAAUGGACCAUUACUGAAAGUUCAUUUCCUAUCAGUAAUCCAGUUUUGAUAAAGAUCUUUCACAACCGGAUUGGAAUUCCUAUUUACUAAUAGUCAAACAAGGCCUGUAUAAAGACUAAUUUGUUGAGACGUACACACCCCUCUCCGCACUAGAUCCUUGUUGGAAUCUUCACCCAGCCAUCCUCAAGCUUGGGUUUGGAUAUUUUGGCAUCAGUUUGCGAAGCAGGUUCACGCCUUCACCUCUAUUUUGACGGUCCCUCGAUCAUGCUCCAUUGAACAAACUUGCCGCACGGCAUCUGAGGUUGGAACUCCAGCAAGCAUAAUUCCCAGCACACCCACCCACUGUUGGCACAUUAGAUAAACAGAUGGCAAGUUGGGCUAGAAUCAUUCAGAGAUGCAAUCAUUGCAGCCUACUUGUUGAACUGUUCAAACUCAGCCACUAAUCAAAUGUCUUUGUUUCCGGCAGCGCACAAAGAAGGGGAGAUUUUCUAUUAUGGAACUUUAAGGCACCUAAGGGAUGGCAGAGGAGCUCAAUUUAGGAGACGUCUGCACCGAGACAUAUCUAUAUGUCAAGUUCCUAUGGGACAUGGAGGACUCUUUAUUUGCAGUGAAUCAAUAAUGGUUAAGAGUCCUAGGCUUCAGAGAAGCAUUAACAAAAAAUUGCUAUUGGAGAUAAAGAAAAUGCAUGCUCUGUUUGAUCCAGUGAUCCCUGCAUGAUGGUUGAAACAACUGAAUUGGCAACUUCACUGCUGCCGUGUUCAUACAUUCCUGGACAGGCAAAAUUUGCAAAUUCCACAUCUCAAGGCUUCACCUGCUCCCUGGGUGCGAGCAUUUUUUGAUAGCUGAUUUUGAAUAGACUUUGACUAAUGACAACCUUAUCAAGCCAAGGUGGUCAGGAGAUAUCCACUUGUGUAAUCUGCCAAGUUGGUGUAUAGAUAACCAUCAGUUGUUCAUCAAAUGCUUGUAUCAGGCCCAUUUGGGAGCAUCAGUCUUUUUGGUUUCAAUGCCAGUUGGCAUCUCUUCCAACAGCAUAGUGUAAAUGGAGGCAGGGCCAUCUGCUGCCCUGAAAUAGGAUUUGCUAUUAGUUACCUUCAGGAGUCCUGGGCUUUGCUGUUAGCCGCCUUCAGUACUUUUAAUCCUCUUGGAUUGAUGCAGCCUCCAACUGAUGCUGCCACAGAUAAGGAUCCUCUCCACCUUGCCUGCAGUAGGCCAUGCCACCCACCAGCCCUCAGCAUCGAGCUCCCUUCAAUUUCCUACCAAAAGUAAGGAACUCUGGUCCUUGCUAGGCUUGUGGGGGGUUUCCAUCUUUAUAGUAAACCCGGGCCCUCUCAGUUUGUUGAUUCAUGUGAGACGAGUCUCUAUCUAUCUAUCUAUCUAUCUAUCUAUCUCGCUCUCACACACACACAUGCACCACACAUGCGCACGGAGUGUAGGAUCAUCCCUAUUAAAUAUAAGAAAAAUGCUUGUUAUUCACCAGAUAAGCACCGAAGACAGCAACACUUGAAACCAAAACCUUCAGCAAGAAUUUUCUGCCGAGCCUCACNNN